GGUUUAAUUAGGGAAGUUUGAG
rnacentral:misc_RNA from 1 species